rnacentral:ncRNA from 1 species
CGAAACGCUAUGACUAAGGCCAGUAAAUGAAAAAUGGCGAAAGAGAGUGAAGCUCGAACCGGCUGAAAGGCUUCACCGCCCUCUUAAUCAUUGAACCUACCUUAUGAGCAUUUAGGAAAACCUAACGUAUUUCCGGCGAUAACGGAGUCGAGUGAACCCAGGCCAUUUUUUUAGCCGGGGUAAAUGAAGGUGGUACCGCGGAAGCUAAGACCUUUCGUCCUUUAU